UCUUUCUUGAAUAGGCGACUGGCGAAUCUGAGUGAGGAGAGUUACCAGUGUGAAUGCAAGUAGAAUAUCGACCUACAUAAUAUCAACACUCAACAACUGGCACAUAUAUAUGUUUGUAUUACAUGUAAUCCAAUUUAAAUUUAUUCUAUCUUUUUAUUCUUGGGGUCAUUUAUUAUGUAAACUAAACUGAACGAUCUGGAUUCAUUUAAUCCCUAUACUGCUGUCUAGACGUAAUGACAUCAAUUGGUGAUAUAUGUUAUAAAGCAACAUGGGUAACAUCAUAUACUUGUGAUGUAUGCAAUUCGGAUUCAUUUUAUCACUACUGCUGUCUAGAUGUAAUUGAUAUAUGUCAUAAAGCAACGUGUGUAUGUAACAUCAUGUCUUAUUUAUGUCUUAUUACCAACACCUAGCAAAUGCCUUUUACAUCAUAAUAGACCAAACGUUUUAUUUUAUAACACCCUAUUAGUUUUUUCCAUCACACUAGACCAUACGUUUAUUUUAUUAUAUACAAUUAACCCUUUCCUGUCUAGAAACCUGAAUUUAAAUCUAUAUUUGUAUUCUCGUAUAUUAUUUUAAUUACAACAAAUCUAUAUCAGUAUUCUUAAAUUAAA